rnacentral:rRNA from 1 species
AUUGAACGCUGGCGGAAUGCUUUACACAUGCAAGUCGAACGGCAGCACGGGGGCAACCCUGGUGGCGAGUGGCGAACGGGUGAGUAAUACAUCGGAACGUGCCCAGUCGUGGGGGAUAACGUAGCGAAAGCUACGCUAAUACCGCAUACGAUCUAUGGAUGAAAGCGGGGGACUCGCAAGAGCCUCGCGCGAUUGGAGCGGCCGAUAUCAGAUUAGGUAGUUGGUGGGGUAAAGGCUCACCAAGCCAACGAUCUGUAGCUGGUCUGAGAGGACGACCAGCCACACUGGAACUGAGACACGGUCCAGACUCCUACGGGAGGCAGCAGUGGGGAAUUUUUGGACAAUGGACGCAAGUCUGAUCCAGCCAUUCCGCGUGCAGGAUGAAGGCCCUCGGGUUGUAAACUGCUUUUGUACGGAACGAAAAGGUUUCUAUUAAUACUAGGAGCUCAUGACGGUACCGUAAGAAUAAGACACCGGCUAACUACGUGCCAGCAGCCG